rnacentral:rRNA from 1 species
UGGUGGAGUGAUUUGUCUGGUUAAUUCCGAUAACGAACGAGACCUCCGCCUGCUAAAUAGCAUACCGAUGUACGCAUCGUGUCGUGCUUCUUAGAGGGACAAUGGGUGUUUAGCCCAUGGAAGUUGGAGGCAAUAACA